UUUGAUUUCGAAUUUCAAUUCGAAACAGCUGUUUUCCUUGUGACAGUUUGACAAAACAAAUAAAGCAAAAUUUGUUGGUUAAAAAUUUUAAAUAAUUUGAAAUUAAACAGUUUUAAUUAAAGAAACAAUGAUUUUUAUGGCCAUUAAUUUGUUGUGAGCGAUAUUAUCAAGGUAGAAUCGAAAGACGACAUUUGAGAGACCAUUCUAAUUCGCUGCCGGCACCGGAUUCCACGUUUGUUUCCGGAUGUCGGUUAAGUAAGCGUGCAUUUUCAGAAAGACUUAACCAAAUUAUAUAUUUGGGAAGAUAAAUCACCAUACCUAAUUUAAUGAAAUUGGUGGCAAGUUUUAAGUUUUCGCUGAAGGUUCAUAUCAACGUUCAAUUGGAAUGUAUACCGAUAUUGGUAUAGGUCCGAAGUGGACACAAGUCAAAUGUCUGAAAUGGAUUUCAGAAAAGCAUGACCUCAACGUCGGUUUAUGAAAAAAUUUGGAAUACCAGGAGUGAUAGGAUGCAUUGAUUUAACUCAUGCAACUACGCAUAAAUGCGACAAUGCUUUGAGUGAUUUUGUUUCUAAACACCUUCUUGAGGUUCGGAAACAUGUAGUGGGUUUGCUGCUCUUGGGGUAACCACGGCUUUGCUGCCUGUCUUGGGACGUUCUUCUUCCGAUUCACUAACUUUCUAACCCAAAACUUAUAGAACUGCCCUUAACGACAGCGGAAAAUUUCACAAAUCUUGGCAACACAUGCCAAACUAUUUGUUAAUAUAUGCUUAGUUUUAUAUAGUGAUAUUAUUUUUAUUUUUUUAUUAAAUACGUACAUUUUAAUAAAUGUUUCUUAAACAAAAAUUUAA